CCUACGGGUGGCAGCAGUGAGGAAUAUUGGUCAAUGGGCGCGAGCCUGAACCAGCCAAGUCGCGUGAAGGAUGAAUGCUCUACGGGUUGUAAACUUCUUUUAUAAAGGAAUAAAGUGAGGAACGUGUUCCUUUUUGUAUGUACUAUAUGAAUAAGGAUCGGCUAACUCCGUGCCAGCAGCCGCGGUAAUACGGAGGAUCCGAGCGUUAUCCGGAUUUAUUGGGUUUAAAGGGUGCGUAGGUGGUUAGUUAAGUCAGUGGUGAAAGUUUGUGGCUCAACCAUAAAAUUGCAGUUGAUACUGGUAGACUUGAGUAUAGUUGAGGUAGGCGGAAUUCGUGGUGUAGCGGUGAAAUGCAUAGAUAUCACGAAGAACUCCGAUUGCGAAGGCAGCUUACUAAACUGUAACUGACACUGAUGCACGAAAGUGUGGGGAUCAAACAGGAUUAGAUACCCCUGUAGUC
rnacentral:rRNA from 1 species